rnacentral:tRNA from 1 species
AAGAGAGGUCGGGGGACAAAAAGAACUGCUAAUUCUUUCUAUCCGGGG